rnacentral:lncRNA from 1 species
AUUUCAUCUUGACCAUCUUUGAGGGACUAUUGAUGCUUUUGGUAUCAGCAGCCACAGAAUUCAUCAGACACAGCACAAAAGAGCAGGAGAAGAGAUAAUGGCAGAUGCCAGAAGAGAUCCAGUUUGGCAUUCUGUCUAAGUUCACUGCACAGAGACGGGUUUGGCUCUGUGAUUCAUCAGAAAUAAGAAAAACAAACACUGUAAAUGGAGAACUUGAAAAAGAGGUGGGCACCAUCUCCCCACCCAAGAGAAUGGAUUUAAGAGGAAAUUUGUUUAUGGGAUGAAGUUUUAAAAGGCGACCUGGAAAAUUUAGCAAAGAUGUAAAUAAACAACUCUUCCUUGGAUUGCAUUAGGCUUCAGAAUAAAUAUAUUAACCAGCUUCAGUCAAAGUCUGCCUAGAAUCUGACCCUGACAAGACCCAGUGACUAGUGCUGCUCCGAACCUUCCCCACCAACAGCAGGCAAUUUUCUCUGUGGCAAAGCUACCUCGAAACAGGCAUCCAGGCUUCCCUCCCACGAAGUGAAGAUGAGAAAACUGAGUCUCAGAAUGGACAAGCUCACAGAUGGCAAGUGGUAGAGCAGACUUCACACAUAGGUCUGUAUGACUUUUUAAAGUUUAUAUUCUUUCUCUUGAAAAAAUACCUCUUUUUAAAAGUAUUAUUCCUCUGUUUAGUUUUAGAUUGUUAUGAAAAAAAAAGGACCUUUUACAGAUCGACUCUUUUAUCCUACAAUAGGGGCUCUGAACCAUUUUGUGUAGGUUCAAAUAGAGCUAGGUUAGACAGAGUUGUCAACGGAAUCCAUCCAGUAGCCUCUGGCAUUUCAAGCAAAGAUUCCUUCAGAAAUACAUCUAAUAAUAGUUGUUCAUCUUCACUGAGCAUUCAUUAUACCCCAUGCACUCU